rnacentral:tRNA from 1 species
GUCCCUGUAGCUCAAGUGGAUAGAGCGGCUGCCUUCUAAGCAGCGGGUUGCGGGUUCGAGUCCCGCCAGGGACGCCA